UACGUAGGGUGCAGCGUUAAUCGGAAUUACUGGGCGUAAAGCGUGCGCAGGCGGUUCUGUAAGACAGAUGUGAAAUCCCCGGGCUUAACCUGGGAACUGCAUUUGUGACUGGCGAGCUAGAGUAUGGCAGAGGGGGGUAGAAUUCCACGUGUAGCAGUGAAAUGCGUAGAGAUGUGGAGGAAUACCGAUGGCGAAGGCAGCCCCCUGGGCCAAUACUGACGCUCAUGCACGAAAGCGUGGGGAGCAAACAGG
rnacentral:rRNA from 1 species